AGCAGCCGCGGUAAUUCCAGCUCCAAUAGCGUAUAUUUAAGUUGUUGCAGUUAAAAGCUCGUAGUUGAAUUUCGGGAUCAAAGGAUCGGUCAUGCCUUGGUAUGUACUGGUUUUAUUGGUUCUCACCUUCUAAAGAACCAUAAUGUCAUUCAUUUGAUGUUAUGGGGAAUUAGGACUGUUACCUUGAAAAAAUUAGAGUGUUUAAAGCAAGCUAACGCUUGAAUACAUUAGCAUGGAAUAAUGAAAUAGGACGUUCGAUCCUAUUUUGUUGGUUUCUAGGAUUGACGUAAUGAUUAAUAGGGAUAGUUGGGGGCAUUAGUAUUCAAUUGUCAGAGGUGAAAUUCUUGGAUUUAUUGAAGACUAACUACUGCGAAAGCAUUUGCCAAGGAUGUUUUCAUUAAUCAAGAACGAAAGUUAGGGGAUCGAAGACGAUCAGAUACCGUCGUAGUCUUAACCAUAAACUAUGCCGACUAGGGAUCGGAUGAUGUUAAUUUUUUAAUGACUCAUUCGGCGCCUUACG
rnacentral:misc_RNA from 2 species